rnacentral:rRNA from 1 species
AACGCGAAGAACCUUACCCAGGCUCGAAAUACAGUGGACAGUCUCAGAAACGAGAUCUUCCGCAAGGACUGCUGUAUAGGUGCUGCAUGGCUGUCGUCAGCUCGUGCCGUGAGGUGUUGGGUUAAGUCCCGCAACGAGCGCAACCCUUAUCAUUAGUUGCCAACACGUAAGGUGGGGACUCUAGUGAGACUGCCUAGGUUAACUAGGAGGAAGGUGAGGAUGACGUCAAGUCCGCAUGGCCUUUAUGUCUGGGGCUACACACGUGCUACAAUGGUCGGUACAGAAGGCAGCAAUAUCGUAAGGAUGGAGCAAAAUCCGUAAAACCGAUCUCAGUUCAGAUUGUGGUCUGCAACUCGACCACAUGAAGUUGGAAUUGCUAGUAAUGACGUGUCAGCAACAGCGUCGUGAAUACGUUCCCGGGCUUGUACACACCGUACGUC